AGUGAACGCUGGCGGUAGGCCUAACACAUGCAAGUCGAACGGCAGCACAGUAAGAGCUUGCUCUUACGGGUGGCGAGUGGCGGACGGGUGAGGAAUACAUCGGAAUCUACUUUUUCGUGGGGGAUAACGUAGGGAAACUUACGCUAAUACCGCAUACGACCUACGGGUGAAAGCAGGGGAUCUUCGGACCUUGCGCGAUUGAAUGAGCCGAUGUCGGAUUAGCUAGUUGGCGGGGUAAAGGCCCACCAAGGCGACGAUCCGUAGCUGGUCUGAGAGGAUGAUCAGCCACACUGGAACUGAGACGCGGUCCAGACUCCUACGGGAGGCAGCAGUGGGGAAUAUUGGACAAUGGGCGCAAGCCUGAUCCAGCCAUACCGCGUGGGUGAAGAAGGCCUUCGGGUUGUAAAGCCCUUUGUUGGGAAAGAAAAGCAGCAGGUUAAUACCCCGCUGUUCUGACGGUACCCAAAGAAUAAGCACCGGCUAACUUCGUG
rnacentral:rRNA from 1 species